rnacentral:rRNA from 1 species
UGCGUUAGUAACGGCGAGUGAAGCGGCAAUAGCUCAAAUUUGAAAGCUGGCCCCUUCGGGGUCCGCGUUGUAAUUUGUAGAGGAUGAUUCGGCGAGGGCUCCCGUCUAAGUCCCUUGGAACAGGGCGUCAUAGAGGGUGAGAAUCCCGUAUGUGAUGGGCUGCCUUAGCCAUGUGAAUCUCCUUCGACGAGUCGAGUUGUUUGGGAAUGCAGCUCUAAAUGGGAGGUAAAUUUCUUCUAAAGCUAAAUACCGGCCAGAGACCGAUAGCGCACAAGUAGAGUGAUCGAAAGAUGAAAAGCACUUUGGAAAGAGAGUUAAAAAGUACGUGAAAUUGUUGAAAGGGAAGCGCUUGCAGCCAGACUUGUCCGCAGUUGCUCAGCUUGUCUCCUGACAGGCGUACUCUUCUGCGGCCAGGCCAGCAUCAGUUCGGGCGGUCGGAUAAAGACCUGGGGAAUGUAGCUCCUCUCGGGGAGUGUUAUAGCCCUGGGUGCAAUGCGGCCAGCCUGGACUGAGGAUCUCGCUUCGGCUAGGAUGCUGGCGUAAUGGCUGUAAGCGGCCCGUCUUGAAACACGGACCAAGGAGUCUAACAUCUAUGCGAGUGUUUGGGUGUCAAACCCAUGCGCGUAAUGAAAGUGAACGGAGGUGGGAACCCUCACGGGUGCACCAUCGACCGAUCCUGAUGUCUUCGGAUGGAUUUGAGUAAGAGCAUAGCUGUUGGGACCCGAAAGAUGGUGAACUAUGCCUGAAUAGGGUGAAGCCAGAGGAAACUCUGGUGGAGGCUCGCAGCGGUUCUGACGUGCAAAUCGAUCGUCAAAUUUGGGUAUAGGGGCGAAAGACUAAUC